CCUACGGGAGGCAGCAGUGAGGAAUAUUGGUCAAUGGACGAGAGUCUGAACCAGCCAAGUAGCGUGAAGGAUGACUGCCCUAUGGGUUGUAAACUUCUUUUAUAUGGGAAUAAAACGUUCCACGUGUGGGAUUUUGUAUGUAACCUAUGAAUAAGGAUCGGCUAACUCCGUGCCAGCAGCCGCGGUAAUACGGAGGAUCCGAGCGUUAUCCGGAUUUAUUGGGUUUAAAGGGAGCGUAGGUGGAUUGUUAAGUCAGUUGUGAAAGUUUGCGGCUCAACCGUAAAAUUGCAGUUGAAACUGGCAGUCUUGAGUACAGUAGAGGUGGGCGGAAUUCGUGGUGUAGCGGUGAAAUGCUUAGAUAUCACGAAGAACUCCGAUUGCGAAGGCAGUUCACUGGACUGCAACUGACACUGAGGCUCGAAAGUGUGGGUAUCAAACAGGAUUAGAUACCCUUGUAGUC
rnacentral:rRNA from 1 species